GAACACCGUGCUGCUCAUGAACUUGAAGAACCUGUCGGCGUAGAAACCCGGUCGGUGGACCGACACGGUGUCCUGAGAGAGAGAUGAGGAGAGUUUAUAAGACAAAUGGUCAAGCUGCUCUCCCGAGCAUCGCACACAAACACGUCUGCCACGGACGCUUUGAGACACCGUCAGACGAGGCAACAGACACUCUGCUUCAUUAUUUAUGUAUCAUCCCAGUGGGAUAACACUGCCAACAGACUGACAGAUGACACUUGGUGUUUGGUUUAGAGCAACAGAGCGCAGAAGGAGACUGAAGGAGACGGAGGAAGCGAGCGGGGAGAGAGAAUCCGCGCUAUUAGGUUUCUGCUUCAGCAUCACUUUUAAACAGCAUGAGUAACAUCUUUUCUCACAUUCAUCAGCUGCGUGUAAUAUGAAGAAAGUUUGGAGUGUUCAUCAUAGUGACGCAGAGGAGGCGGCUUGCUCUCCUACACACGUCUUGUGAAUUAGCGCGGCUCAGAGUGGGAGAGUUGGAGGGAAGACUGAUGAGUCGGUUUAAUCUCGAGCGUAGACUCGGGAGUGAUGUAGAGCCUAAACCCGAGGUUUGGAUGACAAGCAGAAUAUAAACACACGGGAAAACAAAAUAAUCUGUCAUCAAACUCAUCUGCGUGACGUGCACUUCAGGGGAAAAAGCCCAAGCAGUGCACAUAUUCAAAAUUAACAAAGUUUCAUUAAAUGGAUUCCACAAAAACA